GCUGACGAGUGGCGGACGGGUGAGUAAUGUCUGGGAAACUGCCUGAUGGACGGGGAGAACUACUGGAAACGGUAGCUAAUACCGCAUAACGUCGCAAGACCAAAGAGGGGGACCUUCGGGCCUCUUGCCAUCGGAUGUGCCCAGAUGGGAUUAGCUAGUAGGUGGGGUAACGGCUCACCUAGGCGACGAUCCCUAGCUGGUCUGAGAGGAUGACCAGCCACACUGGAACUGAGACACGGUCCAGACUCCUACGGGAGGCAGCAGUGGGGAAUAUUGCACAAUGGGCGCAAGCCUGAUGCAUCCAUGCCGCGUGUAUGAAGAAGGCCUUCUGGUUGUAAAGUACUUUCAGCGGGGAGGAAGGGAGUAAAGUUAAUACCGUUGCUCAUUGACGUUACCCGCAGAAGAAGCACCGGCUAACUCCGUGCCAGCAGCCGCGGUAAUACA
rnacentral:rRNA from 1 species